rnacentral:rRNA from 1 species
GAUGAACGCUGGCGGCGUGCCUAAUACAUGCAAGUCGAGCGAACAGACGAGGAGCUUGCUCCUCUGACGUUAGCGGCGGACGGGUGAGUAACACGUGGAUAACCUACCUAUAAGACUGGGAUAACUUCGGGAAACCGGAGCCAAUACCGGAUAAUAUAUUGAACCGCAUGGUUCAAUAGUGAAAGACGGUUUUGCUGUCAUUUAUAGAUGGAUCCGCGCCGCAUUAGCUAGUUGGUAAGGUAACGGCUUACCAAGGCAACGAUGCGUAGCCGACCUGAGAGGGUGAUCGGCCACACUGGAACUGAGACACGGUCCAGACUUCUACGGGAGGCAGCAGUAGGGAAUCUUCCGCAAUGGGCGAAAGCUUGACGGAGCAACGCCGCGUGAGUGAUGAAGGUCUUCGGAUCGUAAAACUCUGUUAUUAGGGAAGAACAAAUGUGUAAGUAACUAUGCACGUCUUGACGGUACCUAAUCAGAAAGCCACGGCUAACUACGUG